CCACCUCCCAUGGCCCUGAGGCUGGGCUGCAGUUUCCCGACAGCCUAGGACCGCUGGGACUGCUGCCUCUCCCUCUGCUCUGCUCUCCCCAAGGCCAAGGUCGCCCUGCUUCUUUCCCAACCCCAUCCCCCCACAUGCCCCAGGGUCCCUCCUGUACAUGACAGGGUCACCACUCACCAGUCUCUGCGGGGGCCUCAUCUGUGACUCCUGGAGAGGCCCAGCCCGGGGUAACCACUACCCCCCCAUCUGUGGAGAGAAAUCAGAGGCCAGUGGUUCCGCUGCAGGACCUGCUGCUGGUUGGCAAUGACACGCCGGAUGCCGUUGACAAAGUUGCCCUGGUCAUGGGGGAUGAGGCCAAUGAAGAUUUUCUUCUCCGAAGAGUACAGGAGCAUAAGCACGCGGAUCUCACACGAUGCUUUGUAGGAAAAGUGCACGCAGCCGGCCUGGCAGGCACAGGGCGUGGUGUCACCAGACAGCACCACAGGGACUCAGGCCACGGGGACCAGCAUCCCUCCAACCAUGGCACCAUGCCGUGGGCUCCAUGAGCCAGGCACAGCCUAAC
rnacentral:sRNA from 1 species